UACGAAGGGGGCUAGCGUUGUUCGGAAUCACUGGGCUUAAAGGGCGCGUAGGCGGUCGACCAAGUCCGGGGUGAAAUCUUUCGGCUUAACCGGAAAAGUGCCUUGGAUACUGGUCGGCUGGAGGGAGGUAGGGGCAGGUGGAACUUCCAGUGGAGCGGUGAAAUGCGUUGAUAUUGGAAGGAACGCCGGUGGCGAAAGCGACCUGCUGGACCUCUUCUGACGCUGAGGCGCGAAAGCUAGGGGAGCAAACGGG
rnacentral:rRNA from 1 species